rnacentral:rRNA from 1 species
AUUGAACGCUGGCGGCAGGCUUAACACAUGCAAGUCGAGCGGGGUGAUGGUGCUUGCACUAUCACUUAGCGGCGGACGGGUGAGUAAUGCUUAGGAAUCUGCCUAUUAGUGGGGGACAAAAUCUCGAAAGGGAUGCUAAUACCACAUACGUCCUAAGGGAGAAAGCAGGGGAUCACUUGUGACCUUGCGCUAAUAGAAGAGCCUAAGUCGGAUUAGGUAGUUGGUGGGGGAAAGGCCUACCAAGGGGACGGUCUGUAGCGGGUCAUGAGGGGAUGAUCCGCCAAACUGGGGUUGAGACACGGCCCAGACUCCUACGGGAGGCAGCAGUGGGGAAUAGUGGACAAUGGGGGGAAACCUGAUCCAGCCAUGCCGCGUGUGUGAAGAAGGCCUUAUGGUUGUAAAGCACUUUAAGCGAGGAGGAGGCUCUUUUGGUUAAUACCCAAGAUGAGUGGACGUUACUCGCAGAAUAAGCACCGGCUAACUCUGUGCCAGCAGCCGCCGUAA